CACCAAGGACAAGUUUACACAGCGUCCAGUCGCCUCGUCGGCUUUCAACCUCCCCCCCUCUCCUUCAAAUUGUACACUUCAUUACAACCUGUCAUCCGUUUUUGCUCUCCAUACUCACCCCCUGAGGGACAAACCAAACAGCAAAGCGUCUUCCACCGUCAGUCCACAACUACCGCCAGCGACCGAGAAUGCUACACCUUAUUUCCUUUGUGAAUCAUUAAAGAUGCAUGGACUGAGUCAUCCCGAUUCUGUUGCAACUUCAGUGUUGGUGAGCCACUUCGUCACCUGAAUGUACUCAGUACAAUGCUGCCACCUGCUGCUGCACAUUUGAAGUUCAACUAUAACACAAGGCAAUGUAAAUGUAUGUAUCUAUUUAUUCAAAGACCUCAUACCUUAAAAACAAGUACAAGAAUUUACCUUUGUCCUUUGUACAAAUUAAAACACUUAUGUGGUUGGAAAA